rnacentral:rRNA from 1 species
UGCCAGCAGCCGCGGUAAGACGGAGGGCGCAAACGUUGUUCGGCAUUAUUGGGCGUAAAGCGCGUGUAGGCGGAUUAGUAAGUUAGGGGUGAAAUCCCGGGGCUCAACCCCGGAACUGCCUCUAAUACUGCUAGUCUUGAGUUCGAGAGAGGUGAGUGGAAUUCCGAGUGUAGAGGUGAAAUUCGUAGAUAUUCGGAGGAACACCAGUGGCGAAGGCGGCUUUCUGGACCGAUACUGACGCUGAGACGCGAAAGCGUGGGGAGCAAACAGGAUUAGAUA